rnacentral:lncRNA from 12 species
UUGACCCAAACUUUGGACUUUGCGUCUUUGUUGACCUUGGGUUGACCCCAGCUCCAGUUUUGGGGUCUUGGCUUGACCCAAAUUUUGGGUUUUCGGUCUUUCUUGACCUUGACUUGACCCCAGGUUGGGUUUUGGGGUCUUCAAGAUCCUCCAGUUGACCCAAAAUUGAGUUUUUUGGCUCUUGGGUUGAGUUUCGGCCUCUUCCCUUGACCCAACUUUGACUUUUCGGGCUCCUCCACCCAAAAUUUGACCGAAAUUUCCUCAGGCUCCGCCCCCACCGUCUCCACCCCAGGUGAGUCCCGGCCACGCCCACUUCUCCUUUUUUGGGAGGGGCGGGGCCACCCCAAAUUUGACCCCCCCCAAAAAAAAAAAAUCUCCGUAGGCUCCACCCAUCCCCCGCCGGGGCGUGUCCGGCUUGACCCCACCUUGACCCCAGGUUCCUCCAAAGUCGCCGCCGUCUCCGUUGGCACCUCCGGGGGGCUCCGCCCAACUCGGGGGGGGGGGGGGGGGGGGGGGGGGGGGGGGGGGGGGGGGGGGGGGGGGGGGGGGGGGGGGGGGGGGGGGGGGGGGGGGGGGGGGGGGGGGGGGGGGGGGGGGGGGGGGGGGGGGGGGGGCCGUGACCUCGGGGUCACCCACCGCAGGUAGGUCCAGGCCCCUCCCCCCACCUCCCAAAAAUCCAACCCAACUCAACCCAACCCAACGCAACUCAACUGAACUCAACUCAACCCAACUCAUCUCAACGCAACUCAACCAACUCAACCCAACCCAACCCAACUCAACUCAACCCAACCCAACCCAAAAAACUCAACCCAACGACGUCAACCCAAACAAAAAUCGACCAAACCUCGCCAACAGCGUCACCUCCCACCGCGAUGACGUCAUCACAAACCCUCCCCUUUUUUUCCCUCCCCACCGCGAUGACGUCACAGUCAAGCCCCGCCCCCCGACCGUUGACGUCUUCCAAACCUGCGGCGACUCCGGCCUGGUGGAACUCCUCUGCCUGGUCUCCGACUUCGCCCCUCCCCCGGUGGGCGUGGC